rnacentral:rRNA from 1 species
UACGUAGGGUCCGAGCGUUGUCCGGAAUUAUUGGGCGUAAAGGGCUCGUAGGCGGUUUGUCGCGUCGGGAGUGAAAACUCAGGGCUCAACCCUGAGCGUGCUUCCGAUACGGGCAGACUAGAGGUAUGCAGGGGAGAACGGAAUUCCUGGUGUAGCGGUGGAGUGCGCAGAUAUCAGGAGGAACACCGGUGGCGAAGGCGGUUCUCUGGGCAUGACCUGACGCUGAGGAGCGAAAGCAUGGGGAGCGAACAGG